rnacentral:lncRNA from 1 species
CAUGAACAUCAUACAAUUCAAAUAAGAUUGUCAAAUUACAUAAGCUAGUAAGUGAGUGCAAGAAUAUUAGACAAAAUUAAAUAUUUUUAUUGUAUACCUGAUACUCAUCAGAAGUAAGGUACUCAUCACUAAAUUUAUGUAACUUAGAUUAUUACAUCCAAUCAGUCCCCCUAAUUAUUCAAGUACCCCGAAUUCCUAAUCAACCCAUUUCAUAUAAGUAAAGUACCCCCAAAUUUAUAAAAAGAAAUCGAAAUCAUCACUAAUUGAAACAACGGUCCAAAACUGAAUUAAUACAAAAUACAGCAAUAAUCUAACAUUAAAUCCAGUUUGGACAAACAAGCCUCAUUCAUGAAGGACGAGACCACUGGAAACAAAGACCCAUGACCAGAUGAACCCAGGUUCCAGUGAAAACAAAAUAAGAAUUGCUUAAUGACAAAGAUGAACAGGAAAUCCACACAACCAGUUUUGAACGAAACCAUCUUCCAAAACCCCAGACACCAACAACCAUCAACAUCUAAAAUCCCAAACUAAAGGCCUAUAGUAGAUCUUCCACACCAGAUCAUAACCCCCAAAACCAACAAAGGAAGAGGACGAAAUGGUGGGCCGAAGUGGAGGAGGAGGAGGGGAGGGAAGAACCGGUGGG